UACAGAGAGUGCAAGCGUUAAUCGGAAUUACUGGGCGUAAAGCGCACGUAGGUGGAUAUUUAAGUCGAAUGUGAAAGCCCUGGGCUUAACCCGGGAACUGCAUCCGAUACUGGAUAUCUAGAGUAUGGUAGAGGGAAGUGGAAUUUCCGGUGUAGCGGUGAAAUGCGUAGAUAUCGGAAAGAACACCAGUGGCGAAGGCGGCUUCCUGGACUAAUACUGACACUAAGGUGCGAAAGCGUGGGGAGCAAACAGG
rnacentral:rRNA from 1 species